CCUACGGGGGGCAGCAGUGGGGAAUAUUGGACAAUGGGGGCAACCCUGAUCCAGCCAUGCCGCGUGUGUGAAGAAGGCCCUCGGGUUGUAAAGCACUUUCAGUGAGGAAGAACGCCUGGUGGUUAAUACCCAUCAGGAAAGACAUCACUCACAGAAGAAGCACCGGCUAACUCCGUGCCAGCAGCCGCGGUAAUACGGAGGGUGCGAGCGUUAAUCGGAAUUACUGGGCGUAAAGCGCGCGUAGGUGGCUUGAUAAGCCGGUUGUGAAAGCCCCAGGCUCAACCUGGGAACGGCAUCCGGAACUGUCAAGCUAGAGUGCAGGAGAGGAAGGUAGAAUUCCCGGUGUAGCGGUGAAAUGCGUAGAGAUCGGGAGGAAUACCAGUGGCGAAGGCGGCCUUCUGGACUGACACUGACACUGAGGUGCGAAAGCGUGGGUAGCAAACAGGAUUAGAUACCCCAGUAGUC
rnacentral:rRNA from 1 species